GACGAACCGUGCGAACGUUAUUCGGAAUCACUGGGCUUAAAGCGCGUGUAGGCGGGACGGCACGUCGGUCGCUGAAAGCCCCCGGCUCAACCGGGGAACGGGCGCCGAUACGACCGGCCUGGAGGGACGUAGGGGGACCUGGAACUUCCGGUGGAGCGGUGAAAUGCGUAGAGAUCCGGAGGAACACCGACGGCGAAGGCAGCGCCCUGGCCGCCAUCUGACGCUCAGGCACGAAAGCGUGGGGAGCAAAAGGG
rnacentral:rRNA from 1 species